rnacentral:tRNA from 1 species
GGCUGUGGCUCAGUGGUAGAGUGCUCACCUAGCGCAUUCGAGGCCCUGGGUUUGAUCCUCAGCACCA